rnacentral:rRNA from 1 species
UACAGAGACUGCGAGCGUUAUUCGGAUUCACUGGGCGUAAAGGGUGCGCAGGCGGCCGUGUGUGUGAGGCGUGAAAGCCCGGGGCUUAACCCCGGAAUUGCACCUCAAACUAUACGGCUAGAGCAUUGGAGAGGGUAGCAGAAUUCAUGGUGUAGCAGUGAAAUGCGUAGAUAUCAUGAGGAAGACCAGAGGCGAAGGCGGCUACCUGGACAAUUGCUGACGCUCAGGCACGAAGGCGUGGGGAGCAAAAGGG